AUUGAACGCUGGCGGCAUGCUUUACACAUGCAAGUCGAACGGUAACAGGUUAAGCUGACGAGUGGCGAACGGGUGAGUAAUGCAUCGGAACGUGCCCGGUCGUGGGGGAUAACGCAGCGAAAGCUGCGCUAAUACCGCAUACGAUCUGAGGAUGAAAGCGGGGGACCGUAAGGCCUCGCGCGAUCGGAGCGGCCGAUGUCAGAUUAGGUAGUUGGUGGGGUAAAGGCUCACCAAGCCGACGAUCUGUAGCUGGUCUGAGAGGACGACCAGCCAGACGGGAACGGAGACACGGCCGAGACUCCUACGGGAGGCAGCAGUGGGGAAUUUUGGACAAUGGGCGAAAGCCUGAUCCAGCAAUGCCGGGUGCAGGAAGAAGGCCUUCAGGUUGUAAACUGCUUUUGUACGGAGCGAAAAGGCUCUCUCUAAUACAGGGGGCUCAUGACGGUACCGUAAGAAUAAGCACCGGCUAACUACGUGCCAGCCGCCGCAGUAA
rnacentral:rRNA from 1 species